rnacentral:rRNA from 1 species
UACAGAGGCCCCAAGCGUUGUUCGGAUUUACUGGGCGUAAAGGGUGCGUAGGCGGUGGGGUAAGUUUGAGGUGAAAGCUCCGGGCUCAACCCGGAAACUGCCUUGAAAACUAUCCGGCUAGAGGGUUGGAGGGGAGACUGGAAUUCUCGGUGUAGCAGUGAAAUGCGUAGAUCUCGAGAGGAACACCAGUGGCGAAGGCGGGUCUCUGGACAACACCUGACGCUGAGGCACGAAAGCCAGGGGAGCAAACGGG